rnacentral:rRNA from 1 species
UGCAAGUCGAGGGGCAGCGGGGAUAGCAAUAUUCGCCGGCGACCGGCAAACGGGUGCGGAACACGUACGCAACCUUCCCAAAACAGGUGAAUAGCCCUCCGAAAGGAGGAUUAAUACACCGUACCAUAAUGAAGAGGCAUCUUUUUAUUAUUAUAGGCUUCGGUCGGUUUUGGAUGGGCGUGCGCCUGAUUAGGUAGUUGGCGGGGUAACGGCCCACCAAGCCUUCGAUCAGUAACUGGUGUGAGAGCACGACCAGUCACACGGGCACUGAGACACGGGCCCGACUCCUACGGGAGGCAGCAGUAAGGAAUAUUGGUCAAUGGACGCAAGUCUGAACCAGCCAUGCCGCGUGAAGGAUGAAGGCCCUCUGGGUUGUAAACUUCUUUUAUCUGGGACGAAAAAAGGGCAAUCUUGCUCACUUGACGGUACCAGAGGAAUAAGCACCGGCUAACUCCGUGCCAGCAGCCGCGGUAAUACGGAGGGUGCAAGCGUUAUCCGGAUUUACUGGGUUUAAAGGGUGCGUAGGUGGGUAGGUAAGUCAGUGGUGAAAUCUUCGAGCUUAACUCGGAAACUGCCAUUGAUACUAUUUAUCUUGAAUACUUUGGAGGUAAGCGGAAUAUGUCAUGUAGCGGUGAAAUGCUUAGAUAUGACAUAGAACACCAAUUGCGAAGGCAGCUUACUACACAGUCAUUGACACUGAGGCACGAAAGCGUGGGGAUCAAACAGGAUUAGAUACCCUGGUAGUCCACGCCCUAAACGAUGGAUACUCGACAUUAGCGAUACACAGUUAGUGUCUGAGCGAAAGCAUUAAGUAUCCCACCUGGGAAGUACGAUCGCAAGAUUGAAACUCAAAGGAAUUGACGGGGUCCGCACAAGCGGUGGAGCAUGUGUUUAAUUCGAUGAUACGCGAGNNCUUACUGGG